UUUUUUUUUUUUCGUCAGCAGUUAACUGCAGCCGGUUUCAAACUUCGGUAGUUAACUGUCGCAGGAGUAA
rnacentral:pre_miRNA from 1 species